AUCUUAUGAUUCUUCCGUGGCGACACUUAUGGAAGCCUUUGCAGCCCCGCAAGGGGUGGGGAGCACGACUGUAAAUAAGUCUCCCUUCAUGCAAGUCAGCACCCGCUGGCAACACGAUCGAAUUGACGGGGACGUCCUAAAGCCUACAACACCAACCUACCCGGGAAACCGAGGUAGGGGCCCGUGCUAACUACACGGGGUGGUAAAAGAAUGUAUGGAUACUCCCUCCGGGGAACUAUGGAUAAUCCGCAGCGAAGACCCUAAGUAGCGCUAGCUAUAUGGGUAACGUUCACAGACUAAGUGGUUGUGGGUGGAGCCUAGCUCUGCUUAAGAUAUAGUCGGGCCCUGCGUGAAAGCGUGGGGGUGAGUCGCUACGAACUCGAACCGUUCCGUAGGUGAACCUGCGGAAGGAUCAUU
rnacentral:ncRNA from 1 species